rnacentral:rRNA from 1 species
UACAGAGGUCUCAAGCGUUGUUCGGAUUCAUUGGGCGUAAAGGGUGCGUAGGCGGCGCGGUAAGUCGGGUGUGAAAUCUCGGAGCUUAACUCCGAAACUGCAUUCGAUACUGCCGUGCUUGAGGACUGGAGAGGAGACUGGAAUUUACGGUGUAGCGGUGAAAUGCGUAGAUAUCGUAAGGAAGACCAGUGGCGAAGGCGGUUGCCUGGAGCUUUGCUGACGCUGAUGCGCGAAAGCGUGGGGAGCGAUCCGG